rnacentral:rRNA from 1 species
CGUAGGGAGCAAGCGUUGUUCGGAUUUACUGGGCGUAAAGGGCGCGUAGGCGGCGCGGUAAGUCACUUGUGAAAUCUCUGAGCUUAACUCAGAACGGCCAAGUGAUACUGCAGUGCUAGAGUGCAGAAAGGGCAAUCGGAAUUCUUGGUGUAGCGGUGAAAUGCGUAGAUAUCAAGAGGAACACCUGAGGCGAAGGCGGGUUGCUAGGCUGACACUGACGCUGAGUGCGCGAAAGCCAGGGGAGCAAACGGGAUUAGAUACCCCGGUAGUCCUGGCCCUAAACGAUGAAUACUUGGUGUCUGGAGUUCUAAGACUCCGGGUGCCGCCGCUGACGUUUUUAGUAUUCCGCCUGGGGAGUACGCUCGCAAGAGUG